CCUACGGGAGGCAGCAGUGGGGAAUAUUGCACAAUGGGGGAAACCCUGAUGCAGCGACGCCGCGUGAGUGAAGAAGUAGUUCGGUAUGUAAAGCUCUAUCUGCAGGGAAGAAAAUGACGGUACCUGAUUAAGAAGCCCCGGCUAACUACGUGCCAGCAGCCGCGGGAAUACGUCGGGGGCAAGCGUUCUCCGGAUUUACUGGGUGUAAAGGGGGCUUAGACGGUGAUGCAAGUCAGAAGUGAAAGCCCGGGGUCCAAAUCCCGGCCUGCCUUUGAAACUGUGUGACUGGAGUGCAGGAGAGGUAAGCGGAAUGCGCGGUGUAGCGGUGAAAUGCGUAGAUAUCACGAGGAACACCAGUGGCGAAGGCAGCAUACUGGCCUGUAACUGACGCUGAGGCACGAAAGCGUGGGGAGCAAACAGGAUUAGAUACCCGAGUAGUC
rnacentral:rRNA from 1 species